GAGAUUGUAGUUCAAUUGGUCAGUGUAAUGCCUUUGCAAGGUGGAAGCUGCGGGUUCAAGCCCCGUCAAUCCCA
rfam:Vitis vinifera, whole genome shotgun sequence of line PN40024, unordered unoriented unplaced sequences